GGGAGGUAUGUGAAAUUAUCCUAAGCUUUUAUGAUCAGGCGAGAUUGCCGUUGUUAUGGGCAGGGUGAUGAGUACGACGAGGAAACUAGACGGAGGAGAGAAGAGGAGAGAAGAAUAGCUGAGAAGCUAAAGCAUGAGUUUCCCAGGAUUCUUGCCAUGUUGGCGGCGAUGGCCGCAAAAGUAACCGCUGAAGCCAAUGCUAAAGACGAACCUCCUUUUAGAUAGGAUCAGAGUACUAAAAAAGUAUCUUGGGACAAUAGCUCUAACAACGAUUCAUGUGGUGGUUACACGGCGCAUAGUUUGCAGAAAUUAUUUGGGAGAUUUGGAGAGGUUGAGGACGUUUUAGUGAGCAAGAAGAAGAAAGAAGAAUGGGAAUGGGGGAUGUUCGGCUCUAGUUGUGAUGGCUCACAAGGAUCAGCUGUCGCUGCCUGCUGGACUGUGCUGGGUGAUUUGUCCAAUCCUUUGAUGGUUCAGCCACUGGAUUCCACCCCUCCCCCUCCUCCCCCCACCUGGCAAUCAUAGUAAAUUUGAAGAAUUGGUCCUUGCUAAGCUGAAACAGGCAAAAGGCAGAGUUAAUUAUGUGACAGCAUGUAUGUACUCCUGUCCAAUCAAAGCCUUUGUGGUUUUUUGCGAUCUCUUAUGCUGAACCUUUUUACUCUUUAUUCCAUUGUUGUAAAUAAACUAGUUGAAUCUUGCUGAUUCUGAUUCCAUCGUGUAGCUAUCAGUUCCAUUUUCUUUCUGACCCCUGUAUUCAGCUUAUAUUAUAAUUUCCAUUUGGAGUAGAAUUGUUUUCUUUCAGCAGUCUUUUAGACCUCAAAGAAGGCAAGGAGUAGGCUGCUAGUUUAUUGGUGAUAAUUAAGUUGGUAGAAGUGUAAUACGUAAGACUGAUGCCUACUGAGCUUGAAAAGAUAAAAUUUCGGAAAGGAAAUAUUUUCAAGAGUAGAGGAGAUCCUGUAGCAACUAUAUUAAUAGGAAAUAUAUCUAGAAUGUCGACUUGAGACUUGGAGUACACCUAUGUGGAAAGCAGCUAUACCAUUCAUAGGAAAGGCAAAAACUUGGGUAGACCUGACCUUUGUAGACCUAGUGCCUUAAUUGUGCCACAUCUUUAAUACUUGAGUUGGUGAGAUGGUGUGGCAAAUUUUGAGCCGCUAGGUCUUUACAGACCGAGUCUACCCAAGUGUUUGUCCAUAUGAAAAGGGAGUAAAGCUGAAAAUUACAGCAAUUGCAACUUGUGUUGCUCCCAUGGUUUAGUCUGCAUUGAGCGGAAGAACAAAUCUUUUCAGCAAAAUUGGGGGCUAGAGGCCUUCAGUUUUCACUAGCCCAGUAAACUUUUCUCUGUUAUUUGUUGUUUGCCCUAAUGCUCUUUUCUGUUGAAUGAUUUAGUUGAUUCAUAUGUGAUGGGAUGAUGUAGAUGUUGACUUGUCUUCUAAGCAUGCUUAGUCUGGAUCGGAUGUUUCGUUCCAGUGUUGCAACUUGAGUAUUCUUCAGUUAAUUCCCUCGUACUUGCAUAAGUUGCAUUAGCAAAGCAUGUGGUCAGGACGAUUCAAUUGAAUACUUUCAUUGUGGAUUGUGAAAGGAUUCAGGGAAUGAAACUGAACUUUUUUUUAAAGGAGAUGAAGUAGAGACUCC
rnacentral:lncRNA from 1 species